AGAGUUUGAUCCUGGCUCAGGAUGAACGCUGGCGGCGUGCCUAACACAUGCAAGUCGAACGGAUUCAUAUUGAAACCUAGUGAUAUAUGAGUUAGUGGCGGACGGGUGAGUAACGCGUGGGCAACCUGCCGUAUACAGGGGGAUAACACUUAGAAAUAGGUGCUAAAACCGCAUAAGCGCACAAUGCCGCAUGGCAUGGUGCGAAAAACAAAAAGCUAAAGCUUUUGGUGGUAUACGAUGGACCCGCGUCCGAUUAGCCAGUUGGCGGGGUAACGGCCCACCAAAGCGACGAUCGGUAGCCGGCCUGAGAGGGCGGACGGCCACAUUGGGACUGAGACACGGCCCAGACUCCUACGGGAGGCAGCAGUGGGGAAUAUUGCACAAUGGGGGAAACCCUGAUGCAGCGACGCCGCGUGAGUGAAGAAGCAUUUCGGUGCGUAAAGCUCUGUCAGCAGGGAAGAAAAAAAGGUCCUAUGGACUUUUAGACGGUACCUGACCAAGAAGCCCCGGCUAACUACGUGCCAGCAGCCGCGGUAAUACGUAGGGGGCAAGCGUUAUCCGGAUUUACUGGGUGUAAAGGGAGCGCAGACGGCACAGCAAGUCUGGAGUGAAAUGCCGGGGCUUAACCCCGGAACUGCUCUGGAAACUGCGGGGCUAGAGUGCAGGAGGGGCAGGCGGAAUUCCUGGUGUAGCGGUGAAAUGCGCAGAUAUCAGGAGGAACACCGGUGGCGAAGGCGGCCUGCUGGACUGUAACUGACGUUGAGGCUCGAAAGCGUGGGGAGCAAACAGGAUUAGAUACC
rnacentral:rRNA from 1 species